UACGAAGGGUGCAAGCGUUGUCCGGAAUCAUUGGGCGUAAAGCGCGCGUAGGUGGCCCAGUAAGUCCGCUCUGAAAGUCAAAGGCUCAACCUUUGAAAGCGGGUGGAUACUGCUGGGCUAGAGUCCGGAAGAGGCGAGUGGAAUUCCUGGUGUAGCGGUGGAAUGCGCAGAUAUCAGGAGGAACACCAACGGCGAAGGCAGCUCGCUGGGACGGUACUGACACUAAGGCGCGAAAGCGUGGGGAGCGAACAGG
rnacentral:rRNA from 1 species